GCUGGGACAGUUCUUGUGCCAGUGCAGAUGAUGAAGAACAUGACGACAGAGAGGAUGAAGAGGAAGAUGACGACGACUGCUGACUUGAGGAUUUGUUGUUGUUUUUGCUUUUUCUGCCACUUCGUGAAUCUGUGCUUGAUGAACUUAAUGUUUGUGUUAAUGUCGAUGCCAGAGCUGAUGAUGAAUACCCAGUUGAAUCUCUAGAUAAUGAAAAUUCUCUUCCAAGCUGAAAAUCAUUGUUCUUAAAUGCUUCGUAGCUGGCUUUUAAACUGGAUGUUCUUCUUCCUUCCUUCAUCUAAAAAAAAG
rnacentral:lncRNA from 1 species